GGGCGGUUGGCGCAGCGGUAGCGCGCUUCCCUGACACGGAAGAGGUCACUGGUUCGAUCCCAGUACCGCCCACCA
rnacentral:tRNA from 2 species